CCAAGGCUAAAUACUACCUAGUGACCGAUAGUGAAGCAGUACCGUGAGGGAAAGGUGAAAAGAACCCCGGAAGGGGAGUGAAAUAGAACCUGAAACCGUGUGCCUACAACCGAUCGGAGCACGUUAAAGUGUGACGAUGUGCUUUUUGUAGAACGAGCCAGCGAGUUACGCUAUGUAGCAAGGUUAAGUACUUAAGGUAUGGAGCCGAAGGGAAACCGAGUCUGAAAAGGGCGAAAAGUUGCAUGGUGUAGACCCGAAACCGGGUGACCUAUCCAUGGCCAGGUUGAAGCGAGAGUAAAAUCUCGUGGAGGACCGAACCACGUUGGUGUUGAAAAACCAUGGGAUGAGCUGUGGAUAGCGGAGAAAUUCCAAUCGAACUCGGAGAUAGCUGGUUCUCCUCGAAAUAGCUUUAGGGCUAGCGUCGUGUAAUUGAGUAAUGGAGGUAGAGCACUGAAUGGGCUAGGGGCUAUAGUAGUUACCGAACCCUAUCAAACUCCGAAUGCCAUAUACUUGUAUCACGGCAGUCAGACUGCGAAUGAUAAGAUCCGUAGUCAAAAGGGAAACAGCCCAGACCAUCAGCUAAGGUCCCAAAGUGUAAGUUAAGUGGAAAAGGAUGUGGGAUU
rnacentral:rRNA from 1 species